GGAUGCAUACAGGUCCCUGUAUGCAUCCAACUUCAAGUAUGAAUAAAGCCUGAUGUGACGAGGUGAUAUAGACCUAACAACUGAAUAACAUAAUUCAGAGGAAGAAGCAUUUAGUCACAUCAUGCUCCGCCCCAUUUUUGCAAUUCUUAUUUUGCAUUAGAUGCAUGCACGGAAAUAGUUUUUGUCACAACGUGUACAGGUGUUGCAUGAGUGUAUUAGUAUAGUGUGUGAGUAUCCAAAUGCUUUCAUUUCAAGCAGGGAACUGUUACAAUAUGACAGGAGUCCGUCCGGUCUACACAGAUUCCAUAACUUUUCAAAAAGUAUAGUUUUGAUUGACUUGAUCAACAUUUGUCUGAAAAUUCCUCUGGCACUUUGAUGGAAGGAUGGGGACAGUCUCUGAAGAAGUUAGGAGGCUUUUGAAUGACUGUGAGCUGUUUGUAUCAGAUAUCCUACAGGAUGAGAACCUCAGUAAACAUGCCAGGGAAACACGGGGCGUCUUGCUUAAUAACUUCAGGGUGAUCUACUCCAGAAAUCCUCAGGCGUUUCCCUUCAGAUCUGAGUCCAGACAGGAGGACAGUUCAGAUGACAACCAGAGCUCCAGUCUGGGCCGCUCGGCCCCCUCAGAAGACCUGUCAGUGGCCUCUGACUACCAGGACGAGGGCUCUCUCGACUACUUUGAGGAGAUCCAAAUGGUGGCAGCCCAGGAUCUCAGCAACAUCUUGAAACAAGGCUACCUGGAGAAGAAACGACAAGAUCACAGCUUCUUCAGCUUAGAAUGGCAAAAGCGAUGGUGUGUCCUCAAAAACACAAUAUUCUACUACUUUGGGAGUGACAAAGACAAGCAGCAGAAGGGCGCCUUCUAUAUCAAGGGUUACAGUGCAGAGAUGGUGGCCAACCUACGUAAAGACUCCAAGAAAAAUGCCUGCUUUGAGCUGAGUGCCCCUGGCCGACACUCCUUCCAGUUCACUGCUAGCAGUGUGCGAGAAGCCAGGGAAUGGGUGGACCAGAUCAACUUUGUCCUGAAAGAUUUGAGUUCCAGCUUUAUCCCCUUUGAGGAUGAGACCUAUGAUGACAUUGAGGGGGUGACGGGGGUGGCCAGCCGUCCCCCUUGGCCCGCCCCCUUCCCGGUCCUGCCCCAGCAGGUCAAAGCCUCUCUCAGUAGCCAGGAGGAAGGGAAGCCCAGCCAGUGGGAGGAACAGGAAGAGGAUGAUAUCUACGAGGUGCUCCCAGAGGAUGACAUUCCAGGAUCCAUUGAGGAGAUCAGUGAGAAGAGCACGAAACCAGUGUGGUCCAUAGACUAUGCCAAUUACUACCAGGGCUUGUGGGACUGUGAGGCAGACGAGACUGACGAGCUGGCCUUCCAAAGAGGUGACCUCAUCUACAUCGUCAGUAAGGUCAGCAUCAACAAGGAGUAUAACAUCAAUGGCUGGUGGGUCGGAGAGCUAAACGGAACCAUCGGUAUUGUCCCUAAAGACUUCCUCCAUCCUGCCUACAUCCUCUGAGCUCCCAAGAGGCCUCCUGACACCCAUUGAGAUAACCAUUGAAAUAGCAGGAGAGGUGUAUAUUCACAGCGGUGGACUGGCCAUUUAAGACAUCUGGUGGCUGAAAGUAGAACUGCAAUUACUGCAUAGACCCAAGUUGAGUGAUGUGACUGACUACAUUCUCAAUCCCCAACACUUCGAGAUUGAUGACAGAUUGACCUUUUUUAUUAUUUUGUAAUAUAGCGUUAUGCUGUUAGUGGCAUUCUUGUUUUUGUAAAGAUAUGCUUCAUUUCCAUGCAUAAAUUACAUUACCAUGGUUCUUCUGAGGCAUUUGGUGUAUACAUCAAAUUCUGGAUAAUGCUGAUGUCACAAAAAGGUUUCCUCUGUUCAAUUGUUUCCAAUGUAUUUGUGCCCAUGUGUGUGAAUGGAAAUUGCCAGACAUUGAGGAAUCAUUAUGCCCCUGUGAAAAAAAAUAAGAAAUCCUCACCUCUGGUGAACUGGGGGUCUGUCUAUUCCAUAUUAUGAAGCAUACGAACUGGUGCCUUCAACAGCCUUGUGUCUGAGGCUACAGUGCUUCUUAUUCUGAUGCUGACUUCAAAUAUGUAGGCCACAAGGGGUCAGGCAUGCUCCCUGGUGCGAUUUAAUCAUUUUUCAAUUAAGUGUUUGAAAUUGGAAUACCUGAUCAUUUGCGAUAAGAAAACAUAUUUAUUUUUGAUUUUUGAGCCUGUAAAAAUAUUGUUAGAUAUUUAAAUUCCACAAUAUGAUGUACAUAAGAACUUGUUUGACUGUGCAUAUGAAAGUCUAUGGCAAUAUAAAUGUCUGGAAACGAAAGAAACACCUAUUUAGGCGAGGUGCUGGCUAAUAUAAAUGUCUAAAUGUCAUGCACUAAAGUACUCAGAUGCAAAGUACAGGUGGGGGAAAACUACAGUGCCCUCCACUAAUAUUGGCACACUUGGUAAAUAUGAGCAAAACUGGCUGUGAAAGAAAUGUCUUUGUUUAUCCUCUUGGUCUUUCAUUCAAAAUAUUCACAAAAAUCUAACCUUUAAUUAAAGUAAAAUAAUUGAAAAUAAGAAAAUAAAUUCAUAAAACAAAUAUUUUUCUAAAAUAUAUGUGUGCCUCAAUUAUUGGAACCCCUUCAUUCAAUAAUUUGUGCAACCUCCCUUUGACAAGAUAACUGCUCUGAGUCUUCUCCUAUAAUGCAUAAUGAGGUUGGAGAACACAUGGUAAGGGAUCAGAAUCUCUCCAGAUCCUUCAGAUUCCGUGGUGCUGACACGGCAAGGUUUUCUAUGGGGUUUAGGUUGUGGAUUGGGAUGGCCAUGGCAAAACCUUGAUUCUGUGGUCAGUGAACCUUUUUUGUGUUGAUUUUGAGGUGUGCUUUGGAUCAUUGUCCUGCAGGAUGAUCCAACCACGGCCCAGUUUAAGCUUUCUAGCAGAGGCAGUCAGGUUUUGAUUUAAUAUUUUUUACAUUUAACCUUUAUUUAACUAGGUAAGUCAGUUAAGAACAAAUUCUUAUUUUACAAUGAUGGCUUACCCCAGCCAAAACCUCCCCUAGCACGGAUGACACUGGGCCAAUUGUGCGCCGCCCUAUGGGACUCCCGAUCAUGGCCGGUUGGGAUACAGCCCGGGAUCUGUUGUGACGCCUCUAGCAAACUGUAGGCGCUUGGGUUUGUUUGAUGACAGCAAAUGCCUUUUUUCUAUGGCAACCAUCCCAAACAACUUGUGGUUAUGUAGGUGGCGUCUGAUCGUGGUUUUGGAGAAUUUCUGACCCCAAGACCCAACUAACGUCUGCAAUUCUCCAGCUGUGAUCCUUGGAGAUUAUUUGGCCACUCGAACCAUCCUCCUCACUGUGUUUGGGGUCAAUAUAGACAUGAGUCCUCUUCCAGGCCGAUUGUUAACAUCUCUAGUUGCUUUAAACUUCAGUUAGAUUUUACUCAUAAGAAUUUCUAGGGGUGCCAAUAAUCGUGACACGUUUCAGAGUAAAAUAUUUAAUUUAUUUAAAUCAUUUUACUUAGAUUUUUGUGAAUAUUUUGAAAGGCAGACAUUUUUUCACAGCCCGUUUUGCUCAUAUUUACCAAGGGUACCAAUAUUAGUGGAGGGCACUAACAAAUUAUAUUCCACAGAAAUAUUGUCAUCAAUAGGUGCAUUCCUAGUUUAUUUUUGACUAUUUUUAGGUAGGUAUAUUGCCCUUGUACAUCCUUGUAUGAACUACCUAAGUGGAAAAAAACUGUCUGGUAAUCAUCUACAUAACAUAAAAGGGGUACUUCAAACAACUGCUAUGCCACUUAAAUAAACGAAUGCACUGUUAAAAGGCUGAAUAUAAGAACAAACAUCCCCAACAUUGCAAAACACUGUACAGUGUGUUUGGGACUUUUACCAUUGAAGACAAUUAGACCAUAACAUUGAAACCAGUAGAACUGCUGUAGCCUGAUGGUUUGCUUUUUCAACAGGGAUGUUAACUAAUCCAGACCUUUUCUGAAGGGAAUAAACCACACACGGUUCAUUUCCUGGACACAGAUUAAGCCGAAGAGAAGGACAAACUGAAGUACUGGCUUGAAUUGGGAGGAUGAUCACGAGCAAAAGCUUUUGGUUUACUUCCCAAAGUUGCAAAGAAAAUGUUGCGAUCCAUUUAAUAAACACAGGAGACUAGCCAAACUGAUGACAUGGAACAGGAACAGCGACUUUACAUAAUAUGAAAAAGCAAUACUACAAGGCGCAGCUUCAUGUCAGACAUAGCAAACUGAUACUGUAUACUGGUUAUUGGGGUGGGAUUGGUGUAGUGUGGGGGGAUCCAUGGGUGGAUUUGGAUCACAUCUUACUCAUUUGUCAGGAAGAAUGAUGGUUCAAAUAGGAUGUUAGGUACUGUAUUUAUUUCUCAGAGAUCAAAUUAUAUUUCCACAAAAUAAUGUUUCUGGAAUGAAACCUGUUUCAAGCACAAUUCUUGUGCUUUUAGGUGGAACGACACUCAUCCUCGUUUGUUCAAGCUGAACCCAGAAACCUGCCCCACAACAGCAACACAGAAUGGCUAAGGGAACGCAUGCAGGAUGACACUUUUCCCCCCCAGAACUUAUGAAUAAAACACAGUCAAAGUUGAUGGCA